rnacentral:rRNA from 1 species
GACAGAGGGUGCAAACGUUGUUCGGAAUUACUGGGCGUAAAGCGCGUGUAGGCGGCUGCGCAAGUCGGAUGUGAAAUCCCAUGGCCCAACCAUGGAAGUGCACCCGAAACUGCGUAGCUAGAGUCUCGGAGAGGAAGGCGGAAUGCUUGGUGUAGAGGUGAAAUUCGUAGAUAUCAAGCGGAACACCGGUGGCGAAGGCGGCCUUCUGGACGAUGACUGACGCUGAGACGCGAAAGCGUGGGGAGCAAACAGG